UACAGAGGUCUCAAGCGUUGUUCGGAUUCAUUGGGCGUAAAGGGUGCGUAGGUGGCGGGGCAAGUCUGGUGUGAAAUCCCGGGGCUCAACCCUGGAACUGCACUGGAUACUGCCUUGCUAGAGUACUGGAGAGGGAACUGGAAUUUACGGUGUAGCAGUGAAAUGCGUAGAUAUCAAGAGGAACACCAGUGGCGAAGGCGAGUCCCUGGACAACACCUGACACUGAGGCACGAAAGCCGGGGGAGCAAACAGG
rnacentral:rRNA from 1 species